UCGGGUAUGGUGUAACGGCUAACAUUGCCGCCUCUCAUUCAUGAUUUGUGACGCGGCAGCUCGGGGUUCGAUUCCCCGUACCCGAA